rnacentral:rRNA from 1 species
AACGAACGCUGGCGGCAUGCCUAACACAUGCCAGUCGAACGAGACCUUCGGGUCUAGUGGCGCACGGGUGCGUAACGCGUGGGAACCUGCCCUUAGGUUCGGAAUAACUCCCCGAAAGGGGUGCUAAUACCGGAUAAUGUCUUCGGACCAAAGAUUUAUCGCCUUUGGAUGGGCCCGCGUUGGAUUAGCUAGUUGGUAGGGUAAAAGCCUACCAAGGCGACGAUCCAUAGCUGGUCUGAGAGGAUGAUCAGCCACACUGGGACUGAGACACGGCCCAGACUCCUACGGGAGGCAGCAGUGGGGAAUAUUGGACAAUGGGCGAAAGCCUGAUCCAGCAAGGCCGCGUGAGUGGUGAAGGCCGUAGGGUUGUAAAGCUUUUUUACCCGGGAUGAUAAUGACAGUACCGGGAGAAGAAGCGCCGGCUAACUCCGUG